UCGAGAAUUUUUCACAAUGGGCGAAAGCCUGAUGGAGCGACGCCGCGUGGGGGAUGAAUGGCUUCGGCCCGUAAACCCCUGUCAUUCGCGAUCAACCCUUAUUAUUUAAAAGAUGAUAAGCUGAUAGUAGCGGAAGAGGAAGGGACGGCUAACUCUGUGCCAGCAGCCGCGGUAAUACAGAGGUCCCAAGCGUUGUUCGGAUUCACUGGGCGUAAAGGGUGCGUAGGUGGUGACGUAAGUCGGAUGGUAAAGCUCGGCGCUCAACUCCGCAAUGGCCUUGGAAACUGCGUUGCUAGAGGGUCGGAGGGGGGACUGGAAUUCUCGGUGUAGCAGUGAAAUGCGUAGAUAUCGAGAGGAACACCAGUGGCGAAGGCGAGUCCCUGGACGACUCCUGACACUGAGGCACGAAAGCUAGGGGAGCAAACA
rnacentral:rRNA from 1 species